rnacentral:tRNA from 1 species
GCGGAUUUAGCUCAGUUGGUAGAGCGCAACCUUGCCAAGGUUGAGGUCGCAGGUUCGAAUCUUGUAAUCCGCUCCA